UAUUUGGUAUCGCUUUGGUCCC
rnacentral:miRNA from 1 species